UACGUAGGGUGCAAGCGUUGUCCGGAAUUAUUGGGCGUAAAGAGCUCGUAGGCGGUCUGUCGCGUCUGCUGUGAAAACCUGGGGCUUAACCCCGGGCCUGCAGUGGGUACGGGCAGACUAGAGUGUGGUAGGGGAGACUGGAAUUCCUGGUGUAGCGGUGAAAUGCGCAGAUAUCAGGAGGAACACCGGUGGCGAAGGCGGGUCUCUAGGCCGACACUGACGCUGAGGAGCGAAAGCGUGGGGAGCGAACAGG
rnacentral:rRNA from 1 species